rnacentral:rRNA from 1 species
UACAGAGGUGUCAAACGUUGUCCGGAAUUACUGGGCGUAAAGGGCGCGUAGGCGGCCUUAUAAGUCAUGUGUGAAAGCUCUGGGCUCAACCCAGGAAUUGCAUGUGAUACUGUAAGGCUUGAGUUCGGUAGAGGAGGGCGGAAUUCCAGGUGUAGCGGUGAAAUGCGUAGAUAUCUGGAGGAACACCCGUGGCGAAGGCGGCUCUCUGGUCCGAAACUGACGCUGAGGUGCGAAAGCUAGGGUAGCAAACAGG